rnacentral:rRNA from 1 species
UACGAAGGGGGCUAGCGUUGCUCGGAAUUAUUGGGCGUAAAGGGCGCGUAGGCGGUUUGUUAAGUCAGCUGUGAAAGCCCGGGGCUCAACCCCGGAGGGUCAGCUGAUACUGGCAGGCUAGAGUACAGAAGAGGUAACUGGAAUUCCCGGUGUAGCGGUGAGAUGCGUAGAUAUCGGGAGGAACACCUGAGGCGAAGGCGGGUUACUGGGCUGAUACUGACGCUGAUGCGCGAAAGCCAGGGGAGCAAACGGG